rfam:Otolemur garnettii contig129579, whole genome shotgun sequence.
GUAUUAUAUGAAAGGAGAGAAGGUUAACACUCCACUUGAUAAGAGGCCCUUGGGCCUGACAAUACUCACUUGCCUAAGGCAUUACCACCUACUUGGUAGCAUUUAACCAUCAUUUGU